rnacentral:snoRNA from 1 species
GUUGCGGUCUAUCCCUAUGGGGCUUUUCUAUAAACCAUGUAGUUGGAAACCCCUGACAGGAUUGGGAUUUGCUUGACUCAUAGGACUACCUAUUAGACCUGUGAAAAAGAACUACCUGCAGCA